rnacentral:rRNA from 1 species
GAUGAACGCAGGCGGCGUGCCUAAUACAUGCAAGUCGAGCGAACAGAUGAGAAGCUUGCUUCUCUGAUGUUAGCGGCGGGCGGGUGAGUAACACGUGGGUAACCUACCUAUAAGACUGGGAUAACUCCGGGAAACCGGGGCUAAUACCGGAUAAUAUUUUGAACCGCAUGGUUCAAUAGUGAAAGCCGGUUUCGGCUGUCACUUAUAGAUGGACCCGCGCCGUAUUAGCUAGUUGGUAAGGUAACGGCUUACCAAGGCGAGGAUACGUAGCCGACCUGAGAGGGUGAUCGGCCACACUGGAACUGAGACACGGUCCAGACUCCUACGGGAGGCAGCAGUAGGGAAUCUUCCGCAAUGGGCGAAAGCCUGACGGAGCAACGCCGCGUGAGUGAUGAAGGUCUUCGGAUCGUAAAACUCUGUUGUUAGGGAAGAACAAAUUUGUUAGUAACUGAACAAGUCUUGACGGUGCCUAACCAGAAAGCCACGGCUAACUACGUGCCAGCCGCCGCAGUAA